ACAGAAUUUUUCCUGCCACUGU
rnacentral:snRNA from 1 species